rnacentral:rRNA from 1 species
GAUGAACGCUGGCGGCGUGCCUAAUACACGCAAGUCGAGCGAAUGGAUUAAGAGCUUGCUCUUAUGAAGUUAGCGGCGGACGGGUGAGUAACACGGGGGUAACCUGCCCAUAAGACUGGGAUAACUCCGGGAAACCGGGGCUAAUACCGGAUAACAUUUUGAACCGCAUGGUUCGAAAUUGAAUGGCGGCUUCGGCUGUCACUUAUGGAUGGACCCGCGUCGCAUUAGCUAGUUGGUGAGGUAACGGCUCACCAAGGCAACGAUGCGUAGCCGACCUGAGAGGGUGAUCGGCCACACUGGGACUGAGACACGGCCCAGACUCCUACGGGAGGCAGCAGUAGGGAAUCUUCCGCAAUGGACGAAAGUCUGACGGAGCAACGCCGCGUGAGUGAUGAAGGCUUUCGGGUCGUAAAACUCUGUUGUUAGGGAAGAACAAGUGCUAGUUGAAUAAGCUGGCACCUUGACGGUACCUAACCAGAAAGCCACGGCUAACUACGUGCCAGCCGCCGCAGUAA